rnacentral:rRNA from 1 species
UACGUAGGAGGCGAGCGUUGUCCGGAAUUACUGGGCGUAAAGCGCACGUAGGCGGUCUUUUAAGUCGGGGGUGAAAUCCUGGAGCUCAACUCCAGAACUGCCUUCGAUACUGGCGAUCUUGAGUCCGGAAGAGGUGAGUGGAACUCCUAGUGUAGAGGUGGAAUUCGUAGAUAUUCGCAAGAACACCAGUGGCGAAGGCGGCUCACUGGCCCGGUACUGACGCUGAGGUGCGAAAGCGUGGGGAGCAAACAGG